UUAAUUGUGCAUUCUUUUUUUAAAGGACUGCCUUCAAUUUGUCUCAUUUCCGUCCUCAUUGCCCCAUCAUUUCAGUCACUAGAGAUAGAGAAGUCGCUCACAUUUGCCAUCUCUAUCGUGGCAUACAUCCACUGGUCUUCCCUCAUCCAAAGAAUGAAUCAGACUGGGCAGACGAUAUGGAGAAGAGGUUCCAUUACGCCAUUGAGUGGGGGAAAAAGAAAGGGGUCAUACAGAAAGGCUCAACCAUUAUUGCUCUUAGUGGUUGGAGGCCUGGACCAGCUAAUACAAACACUAUUAGGAUCUUAAUUGUGGAGUAACAGACUUAAGCCUUCUCCCAUUGCUGACACUCAUUAUGUAGCUACGUUAUAAUACAUAGUCAAAGUUAGCUUAGCUUGUAGUGUGUAAUCUUCUGCUGCUGUUAUAAUAGUCAAGUUAUUAGUAUUAUUUGAUUAGAAUUUUAAAAAAUACACACUUGUGCUUUAUAAUUA